UGGCUGCAGCUGUAUUCCGGCCACUCCCGGUGAUUCUGAUGGCUCAUCAUCAACUGCAUGAGAUUGAGAGGAUCCUGCAUGCACAGUUACAAGAAAUCAAAUUAAUUAAGCUCACCUUCAAGCAUAACCAGGUGGAAGAUGAAGAGGAGCAGUAAUAAGAAGAGGAUUAGGAUUGGAUCUUUGGCACGCUUGAGACCUGAUUGAUGAUUCAUGGUUUUGGUUUGGCAGAGAGAAAAGAGGGACUGAGAAAAUUAAAGAUUGAAGAAUUUGUGUGGUGGAAAUGGAGCAUGAAGAAGAAUGAAUAUUGGAUGGGAGUGGGGUGGGUGAGUGGGUCAAGGGUUUGGGGUAUUUGGCAUUUUGGCCCUUCCAACACACACUGAGAGGGAAUAAGCCUAUGAAAGAGCGAGUUUAUGCCCUCAGACCAAAGAUUCGCUCCAACCAUGCAACACGUCAUCGGUUUAUCAUAUUCCCAACUUGCUAAAGUAGAAUAUUGGUACAGUAUUAUAUUCCCUCUUCCUUAAUCUACUAAUCUGAUUUUUUUUUUAUUCAGCAUAACUAAUCCAUGUCUUAUUAACUCUUUAAUUAACUUGAAACCCCACAACUCGGGUCACGACACGCAUGGAGGAGCGGACCCAUAAAUUUUUCUAAGUGGGGACGAAGUUCAAUGAGCCAAGCAAGACACUGAAGACACCUAACACGGGGAGAGGCAAGGCAGUGCCCUUGGCUGUGCCAAUUACCACCCGUGCCCCAAGGAUAUUGGCACAGCCAUGUAAAACGAGGUAGUGAGCAGCAUUUUUUAGUUCAUUGUUGAAGAA